rnacentral:rRNA from 1 species
AUUGAACGCUGGCGGUAGGCCUAACACAUGCAAGUCGAGCGGUAGAGAGAAGCUUGCUUCUCUUGAGAGCGGCGGACGGGUGAGUAAUGCCUAGGAAUCUGCCUGGUAGUGGGGGAUAACGUUCGGAAACGGACGCUAAUACCGCAUACGUCCUACGGGAGAAAGCAGGGGACCUUCGGGCCUUGCGCUAUCAGAUGAGCCUAGGUCGGAUUAGCUAGUUGGUGGGGUAAUGGCUCACCAAGGCGACGAUCCGUAACUGGUCUGAGAGGAUGAUCAGUCACACUGGAACUGAGACACGGUCCAGACUCCUACGGGAGGCAGCAGUGGGGAAUAUUGGACAAUGGGCGAAAGCCUGAUCCAGCCAUGCCGCGUGUGUGAAGAAGGUCUUCGGAUUGUAAAGCACUUUAAGUUGGGAGGAAGGGCAGUAAAUUAAUACUUUGCUGUUUUGACGUUACCGACAGAAUAAGCACCGGCUAACUCUGUG